CGCAAAAACUCCACCACUAGGCGUUUAUAUCUAAAUUGAUCUCAGCUUUGUGUCCUCAUAAUUGAUGACAACCUUUUUGGAGGACCAAAGUGAUGUGUACUUUCUUUGGAGGAGCAAAAAAUGUCACCUCUAUCAUUGGAAGAUUGAAGUGGGUGUUCACUAUAAUAUGCAACAUUAGUUACAGCUCCGUCUAUUAAUGUUUGUUAACACAAAUUUUCCUAUUAUUUUAAUGUACUUUAUGCGAAUCUGGUGUAGUUUUAUGUAUGUCUAUAUGUUUUUUAGGCCGAGUAUUUAUGAAUAACUUGGUACAUAAUUUUCAGACUCGGCAACUUAUUAAUACAAACAUGUAUUGGCUUGCAAUUCCAAGUAUUGGCUUACUUCUUAAGGGUCUUGUAAUUAUUUAAUGUUGCUAUCUGUUUAUGUCUAGACUGGAUAGUUUUGAUCUACUUAUGUUCAUAUUUAUCUUCAAUGCUUAUAUAUUAGUUGAGCUUUGAAGUUGUAUUCUUAUUCCAGAGUGGUUGAGGGAUCAUUUGUGUGGAUUGAGUUGUUUCUUUUCUGUUGAGGCUUGAUUGGAGUAGUCAUUUGGAAGUUGGAACUAACAGUAUUCAAAUUCAUAUCUUUUAGCUAGAGAGAAAGACACUUAGACUAAUGUUUUGAUUUUCCCAACUUUUUAAACUACUGAAUAUAUUUUUUGAUUAUCUCAGGAGUGGAUAUUUUUUCAAAAUUAGGAUAUAUCCAUUUUUGCACCUAGAGGCAGAGAGAUGCCAAAAAAACCAUAGGCAAAACGAUUAGGAAAGAUUUAGAGUUAAAUGCUUUAUCAAUGAACAUGUUUUAUGAUAGAGUAUUAUGGUAUCGUUCGAUCCAUAUAGUUGACCUAGUGAGACUAAGGCUUGGUUGUUAUUGUUAUAUUGUAAUGAUUUUUUUACUUCGUUCAGUGAAGAAACAAAAUCAUUCUUUUCUCAGCAGCCGUACAUACAAGGAAAUGAUGGUGGCCUAUUUGGAAAAGAAGCAUCUGCAAAUGUCCCCACUUGAUAUGAAAUUUCAUCUUCGUAAUUUGAUAGGAUUUCAUCUCAAAACUGACCCGACUCCAACUGGUUUAAUCACCCGAGUUUCAAUGGAUUAGAUCCAGAAAGUCUUAGCUGUACUCGGCUCCAUCAAAUGAUUCAUAUGGUCCUAUUUGCUGUCAACUUCAAGAAGGGGUUUAGUUGCUUAUGCUUUUGGCUUAUAUAUCAUUUCAUAUGGUUGUCAUUUAUGUGAGAUAACUAUAUAGGUGGCAUGCUAACCAACCAGUUCUACCUGGUUGAUCAAGAGAAUAUGCAAAGACAUUUCACAAUGACAUUCAUAUCUAUGUAAGUAUCAUUUUCACUGUCAUAUGUUGUGCAAUUAUUCACUAACACAUUCUCAGAGGUUCUGUUUUUUUAUUGUUAUUUUUUAUUUAAACAGAGGACUCAAAAUUAAUGAUUGAG
rnacentral:lncRNA from 1 species